rnacentral:rRNA from 1 species
GAUGAACGCUAGCUACAGGCUUAACACAUGCAAGUCGCGGGGCAGCAUGAAUUUAGCUUGCUAAAUUGAUGGCGACCGGCGCACGGGUGAGUAACGCGUAUCCAACCUGCCCAUGUCCACGGGAUAGCCCGUCGAAAGGCGGAUUAAUACCGUAUGAGGUCACACGAUGGCAUCAGAAUGUGACGAAAGGUUUGGCGGACAGGGAUGGGGAUGCGUCCGAUUAGGUAGUCGGCGGGGUAACGGCCCACCGAGCCGACGAUCAGUAGGGGUUCUGAGAGGAAGGUCCCCCACAUUGGAACUGAGACACGGUCCAAACUCCUACGGGAGGCAGCAGUGAGGAAUAUUGGUCAAUGGGCGAGAGCCUGAACCAGCCAAGUAGCGUGCAGGAUGACGGCCCUACGGGUUGUAAACUGCUUUUAUGAAGGAAUAAAGUCACCCACGUGUGGGUGUUUGCAUGUACUUUAUGAAUAAGGACCGGCUAAUUCCGUG